rnacentral:rRNA from 1 species
AGCGAACGCUGGCGGCAGGCCUAACACAUGCAAGUCGAACGAACUCUUCGGAGUUAGUGGCGGACGGGUGAGUAACACGUGGGAACGUGCCUUUAGGUUCGGAAUAACUCAGGGAAACUUGUGCUAAUACCGAAUGUGCCCUUCGGGGGAAAGAUUUAUCGCCUUUAGAGCGGCCCGCGUCUGAUUAGCUAGUUGGUGAGGUAAAGGCUCACCAAGGCGACGAUCAGUAGCUGGUCUGAGAGGAUGAUCAGCCACAUUGGGACUGAGACACGGCCCAAACUCCUACGGGAGGCAGCAGUGGGGAAUCUUGCGCAAUGGGCGAAAGCCUGACGCAGCCAUGCCGCGUGAAUGAUGAAGGUCUUAGGAUUGUAAAGUUCUUUCACCGGGGACGAUAAUGACGGUACCCGGAGAAGAAGCCCCGGCUAACUUCGUG